rnacentral:rRNA from 1 species
CGGGCGUCGAUGUCGAUUUGGAGGUUGUGCCCUUGAGGCGUGGCUUCCGGAGCUAACGCGUUAAAUCGACCGCCUGGGGAGUACGGCCGCAAGGUUAAAACUCAAAUGAAUUGACGGGGGCCCGCACAAGCGGUGGAGCAUGUGGUUUAAUUCGAUGCAACGCGAAGAACCUUACCUGGUCUUGACAUCCACAGAACUUAGCAGAGAUGCUUUGGUGCCUUCGGGAACUGUGAGACAGGUGCUGCAUGGCUGUCGUCAGCUCGUGUUGUGAAAUGUUGGGUUAAGUCCCGCAACGAGCGCAACCCUUAUCCUUUGUUGCCAGCGGUUCGGCCGGGAACUCAAAGGAGACUGCCAGUGAUAAACUGGAGGAAGGUGGGGAUGACGUCAAGUCAUCAUGGCCCUUACGACCAGGGCUACACACGUGCUACAAUGGCAUAUACAAAGAGAAGCGACCUCGCGAGAGCAAGCGGACCUCAUAAAGUAUGUCGUAGUCCGGAUUGGAGUCUGCAACUCGACUCCAUGAAGUCGGAAUCGCUAGUAAUCGUAGAUCAGAAUGCUACGGUGAAUACGUUCCCGGGCCUUGUACACACCGCCCGUCACACCAUGGGAGUGGGUUGCAAAAGAAGUAGGUAGCUUAACCUUCGGGAGGGCGCUUACCACUUUGUGAUUCAUGACUGGGGUGAAGUCGUACAAGGGUAACCA